UCUCCUACGGGACGCAGCAGUGAGGAAUAUUGGUCAAUGGGAGAGAUCCUGAACCAGCCAAGCCGCGUGAGGGAAGACGGCCCUAUGGGUUGUAAACCUCUUUUGUCGGAGAACAAAACCCGGGACGUGUCCCGGACUGCGUGUAUCCGAAGAAAAAGCAUCGGCUAACUCCGUGCCAGCAGCCGCGGUAAUACGGAGGAUGCGAGCGUUAUCCGGAUUUAUUGGGUUUAAAGGGUGCGUAGGCGGUCCGUUAAGUCAGCGGUAAAAUUGCGGGGCUCAACCCCGUACUGCCGUUGAAACUGCAU
rnacentral:rRNA from 1 species